rnacentral:rRNA from 1 species
ACUCAAAUGAAUUGACGGGGACCCGCACAAGCGGUGGAGCGUGUUGUUUAAUUCGAUGGUAAGCGAAGAACCUUACCCAGGCUUGACAUCCUUGGAAGCACUGCGAAAGCAGAGUGUGCCUCCGGGAACCAAGUGACAGGUGUUGCAUGGCCGUCGUCAGCUCGUGUCGUGAGAUGUUUGGUUAAGUCCAUCAACGAGCGCAACCCUUGUGGCUAGUUGAAUUUUUCUAGUCAGACUGCCCUGGUAACAGGGAGGAAGGAGGGGAUGAUGUCAGGUCAGUAUUACCCUUACGUCUGGGGCUACAAACACGCUACAAUGGCCGGUACAAAGGGCUGCCAAGUCGCGAGACGGAGCAAAUCCCAUCAAAGCCGGUCUCAGUUCGGAUUGUAGGCUGAAACUCGCCUACAUGAAGUCGGAAUCGCUAGUAACGGUGGGUCAGCACACUACCGUGAAUACGUUCCCGGGUCUUGUACACACCGCCCGU